rnacentral:misc_RNA from 1 species
AAAACAAUUCUUUCUCUUUUUUUUAAUUUUUUUUUUUAUUUUCAUCAGCAUAGAUACUAUGGGAAAUCAAUCCCAUCUGGAUCAAGGGAAGAAGCCUUCAAAAAUGGACGCACUCGUGGGUAUUUCAACUCUGCACAAGCUAUUGCAGACUAUGCAGAAAUUAUCAUUCAUGUCAAGAAACUCUUACAUGCAAAUUCUCCGGUUAUCGCCAUCGGAGGAUCCUAUGGUGGAAUGUUGGCUUGCUGGUUUCGGCUCAAGUACCCUCACAUAGCCCUUGGAGCUUUGGCCUCAUCAGCACCUGUUCUUUAUGUUGAUCAUAUUUCGCCGCCUGAUGGACAUGAUUCCAUCGUUGCGAAUGAUUUUAGAGAAGCUAGUGAGACUUGCUACCAG